GAUGAAGAACGCAGCGAAAUGCGAUAAGUAGUGUGAAUUGCAGAAUUCAGUGAAUCAUCGAAUCUUUGAACGCACAUUGCGCCCCUUGGUAUUCCAUGGGGCAUGCCUGUUCGAGCGUCAUUUGUACCUUCAAGCUCUGCUUGGUGUUGGGUGUUUGUCUCGCCUCUGCGUGUAGACUCUCCUCAAAAUAAUUGGCAGCCGGCGUAUUGAUUUCGGAGCGCAGUACAUCUCGCGCUUUGCACUCAUAACGACGACGUCCAAAAGUACAUUUUUACACUCUUGACCUCGGAUCAGGUAGGGAUACCCGCUGAACUUAAGCAUAUCAAUAAGCGGAGGA
rnacentral:misc_RNA from 1 species